UUGUUUCUAUGGCUUGUUAGCUGUGGGUUAUCCACCUUAUGUGUAAAGCAGUUUUACUUAUAGGAGCAUAUACCUUCCUAUAUCUCUGCUCAAAUAAAUGAGGAAAGAGAACAUUGCUGCUACUUCUUUGAGAAUACCUCCCAAGAGUGCUACUAGGCCAACACAAAAGAUUCCCUUCACGCAGCUGCAGUGUCAUUGGGAGAUGUGCUGCUCAGAGCCUGGUGUGUGGCAUGGCAGGACUGUGUUCUUCACUUUGCACCUUGUGUAUAAAGAAAGCCAGAGCUAAGGCUCCAGAACUCAAGAUUUGAGUUGCAUACCACAGGGCUGAGGA